CCUACGGGAGGCAGCAGUGAGGAAUAUUGGUCAAUGGACGGAAGUCUGAACCAGCCAUGCCGCGUGCAGGAAGACGGCUCUAUGAGUUGUAAACAGCUUUUGCACAAGGGUAAACCUGAAUACGUGUAUUCAGCUGAAAGUACUGUACGCAUAAGGAUCGGCUAACUCCGUGCCAGCAGCCGCGGUAAUACGGAGGAGACAAUCGUUAUUCGGAUUUAUUGGGCUUAAAGGGUGCGUAGGCGGAUUGAUAAGUUAGAGGUGAAAUGUCCGAGCUUAACUUGGGAACUGCCUCGACUACUGUUGGGCUAGAGAGUUGAUGCGGUAGGUGGAAUGUAUGGUGUAGCGGUGAAAU
rnacentral:rRNA from 1 species